GUGUCAGCAGCCGCGGUAAUACGAAGGUCCCGAGCGUUGUUCGGAAUCACUGGGCGUAAAGGGAGCGUAGGCGGCGUGGUAAGUCAGAUGUGAAAUCCCGGGGCUCAACCCCGGAACUGCAUCCGAUACUGCCGUGCUAGAGUUUUGGAGAGGUAGCUGGAAUUCACGGUGUAGCAGUGAAAUGCGUGGAUAUCGUGAGGAACACUCGUGGCGAAAGCGAGCUACUGGACAACAACUGACGCUGAGGCUCGAAGGCCAGGGGAGCGAAAGGGAUUAGAUACCCGCGUAGUCC
rnacentral:rRNA from 1 species